GUGUUCAAAUGGUCAUCCCUGCAUACCCAGAUCCUCUCUGAUCUUGGAAGAUAAGCAGGGUUAGCCCUGAUUGGUUCCCGGAUAGAAGACUGCCAAGGAAUACUAGAUACUGGAGACC
rnacentral:rRNA from 11 species